rnacentral:lncRNA from 1 species
GAGAGAAAAAAUGGAGAAAUCUAAUGGAAGAAAUCUCAACAAUCAGUUCCCAAAACUACAAAGGCACAGUCUACGAAAACCCAGAGUUUAUCUCAUAUUUCCAUGAGGCAACACCACAAGCCGAGCUCGGUUACCUCAACAUAGGAAGCCGACCAGCUCGAAGAAAGAGCUCUACUGGCAUAGGACAUCUCAGAGCUAUCCCUUGGGUCUUUGCUUGGACACAAACAAGGUUUGUUCUACCAGCUUGGCUCGGUGUAGGAGCUGGUCUAAAGGGUGUCUCUGAGAAGGGUUACGCAGACGAUAUUCAGGAGAUGUAUAAAGAGUGGCCGUUUUUUCAGUCAACUAUUGACCUUAUAGAGAUGGUGUUAGCUAAAGCAGACAUCCCCAUUACAAAACUCUAUGACGAACAACUUGUCUCUGAGAACAGAAGAGGACUUGGUGAUAUGCUGAGGAAAGAAUUGAUGACUACUGAAAAGUAUGUGCUUGUAUUGACAGUGCAACAGCUUCACCUUCUCGAACUCUACUCCCGGUUCCUCCAUUACUUCUCUAGCAACACGAGUUUACAGACCACAACAGCGACUUUCGGCAUCGCACGGUCCAGUGGCAUGAGUCCCAGCCAUAACACUUCUUUUAUUAUUUUCGACAAAUGUUUUUGUUUGUUAUAAAAAUUAAUAUUCUUAACAUUCAUACCCCAAAAAUAAACAUAUUAAUUAUGACCAAUAUAAAAUUGUUCUUAAAAUUUGUGAAGGAAGAAGAAUAGUCUCCUCUCUAGAUUUUUACGGGAAGUUACUUGCACCACAAAUUUAAUUGCGCAAUACUUUACUGCGUUGACCACCACUUGUCAGCAUGAGAUUGCAUCAAUAAGUUAGUAAGACACCAUAUAUAGCUAACAAACCAUAAAUCACUCGUCUAAAUAUUUCACUUUGAUCACUACGCUCUCUGUCAUUCCUUCAUCGAUACAAUGACGGAUACGACAGACGAUAUUGCAGAGGAAAUCUCAUUCCAAAGCUUCGAAGAUGACUGCAAGUUGCUCGGAAGUCUCUUCAAUGAUGUGUUGCAGAGGGAAGUCGGAAGCUCAUUCAUGGAGAAAAUUGAACGCAUUCGAAUCCUCGCUCAGGUUUGUUUUAUAUUAGUAUAUAAUUGUGUUAAAUAUAUUAUUAAAAAUUAAGUCAUUAAUCUAAAAAGUGUACAAUGGUUUUGGAAUAAAGAGGAAUGAUACUAGUGUUUGUGGUUAAAAACGUUUCAGAGUGCGUUGAAUUUGCGUUUGGCUGGUAUUGAAGAUACUGCAAACCUAUUAGAGAAGCAACUGACUUGUGAAAUAUCCAAGAUGCCACUAGAGGAAGCUUUGACAUUGGCUCGUGCGUUCACUCACUCUCUUAACCUUAUGGGCAUUGCAGACACUCAUCACAGGUCAUGGUUUUAGAAAAAAACAUUUACAACAAAAGUAUUUACAAAUAAUGAACAAGCAUAAUAAAUUCUUAAUUUUUUUUUGGUAUAUAAACCUUUUUUUUUGUUUUUCCAGAAUGCAUAAACUCAUAGACGUUACACAACUUUCAAGAUCAUGUGAUGAUAUAUUCACUCAGCUAUUGCAAAGUGGAAUUUCCUCAGAAGAGCUUUACAAAACGGUUUGCAAGCAGGUUGACUUUAUAUUAUAUCACUUUUAACUGUUCCAAUAUGUUUGUAACACGUAUAUCAUACUCCCUCCGUUCCAUUAAGAUAGAUUUUUUAGAAAAAAAAUUUGUUUCACAAACAUGUAUUUUUUGUGUUUUCUAUGAAAAAGUUGUAAACUUUAAAAAAAUUAAUUAAAUUUAUUGAAUUACUAUUGGUUAAAAAUUAUUGAAAAUUAUAAAUUACAGAAAAUGAUACUUUUAUUAUGGUAGUUUAAUGUGUUUAUUUAAUAAGUGUAAAAAUACUAAAAAGUCUAUCUUGGAAGGGAGGGAGUAUGUCACAGAGCUGCGUGUCAAAUUUCCACAUUUUGAUAUUAAAUUGCAAAUUUUAUUUAUCGACUUUAGGAGGUCGAGAUUGUUCUUACUGCUCAUCCUACUCAAAUUAACCGGAGAACCUUACAGUACAAGCAUGUCAGAAUUGCUGUAAGUUUGGAAUGAUGUUGGUAUAUAUAUACUUUCUUGCUGUAUUCUUUAGUCAGAAAAAAAAGCGUUAAGACCGUUUACUUUCUUGCAGAAUCUUUUAGAAUAUAACAGCAGAUCAGAUAUCGGCCAUGAAGAUCGAGAAACACUAAUUGAAGACUUGGUACUCUUCUUUUAUAAUUCGUUUUGUUAGAGCAUUAAAAUCUAAUAAACUAAUUAUCAUAUUUUAAAGGUUAGGGAGAUAACUUCAGUAUGGCAGACUGAUGAGCUUAGACGUCAAAAACCUACUCCAGUUGAUGAAGCUAGAACUGGUAUUAUGUUAAAUCGAAUUUGUAUAAAAAUUUAGUUGACAUUCCCUUCAUUUUCCUUCCCUUCUAAUUCACCAGGUUUGAACAUUGUUGAGCAAUCCCUUUGGAAAGCUGUACCACAUUACCUGCGUCGUGUCAGCAAUUCCUUGAAAAAGGUAUGAUUCUAAUUAAAUUUUCUAGUGUAUAUCUGGAAAAAUAAGUUUCUAGCAAAGAAUUUAUUAAGCAAUAAAUAUAACAUUCCAAAAAUAAAAUCUGGAUAAACUCAAGUUACCUAACCUUGAGAGUAUUGUGAUUUAGUUUACGGGGAAGCCACUUCCAUUAACAUGCACGCCUAUAAAAUUUGGUUCUUGGAUGGGAGGUGAUAGAGAUGGAAACCCAAAUGUGACGGCGAAGGUUACUCUUUUAUGUAUAUUAUUCUAGGGCACAACUACUUUCCAUUUUCCCAUAUAAAAUUCCUGCCAAUUACUUUUCCAUGGAGAACAUCGAACUUAUCUUACUUUAACCUUGUGAUUUCCUUGAUAUCUCACACUUAAAUGUUGUGAUACUAAUUUUCCAGGUCACCAAGGAAGUAUCUCUCUUGUCCAGGUGGAUGGCUAUCGAUCUGUACAUAAGAGAGGUUGAUAGCUUAAGAUUUGAAUUGUCUACAGAUCGAUGCAGUGACAGAUUUUCAAGAUUAGCAGAGGACAUUCUUGAAAAAGGUAUGCUUCUAUCAGUUUCUGUUGAAUUUGUAUAUUUUUUUCCAUUCAUAAUAUUUUUUUACUAUAAAACCUUACAAAUUGAUGUUUUCUCCCCUCAGAGAGUUCUGAAAAAAAUUCUGACAGAGGACAAUCAAGUUUCUUAAACCAGCAAAAUUCAUCCUUGUCAACACAGCUUCCAGAUAAAGCUCAACAUCCUUCUUGCAUUGGUAAAAAAAUACUUUUACAUUUUGUGCUGGUAAACACGACCAACAUCCACACCUUUUUCCUGAUGCAUUCAUGUUCUUAUAACUCAUUUCAUUACAGAAGAUGGCGAUUCACAACAUCCCAAAUUUGAAAUUAAUACGACGACAGAUUUUGUGCCUCCUAAUCUCCAGGUAAGGCAAAGCCUUUUGAUAUUUACAUGAAACAUAGUUUUGUUGAGUUCUUGCCAAGUCUUUUGAUAUUUUUUCCUUAUUUUUCUUACACAGAAGCAAAAUGAAGAAGACUCUCCAAAGAUAGAUUCGAAGUCAAAUGCUGAUGAUACUCAUACGGGAGGUCUUACUUCGCGAGGUUCUUUCUCAUCUACCUCUCAACUUCUCUUCCAGAGGAAACUAUUUGCGGAAUCUAAAAUUGGGAGGGCCAGUUUUCAAAAGCUACUAGAACCACCUCCACUUAAACGUGCUGGAAUGGCUCCUUACCGCAUUGUACUUGGAGAUGUUAAGGAUAAGGUACAAGACCUUAAUAUUUUCAUCCAAAAUUAACUUUUACGUGUUGGUUGCAUCUUAACCUAUUAUAACUCGUUUUUUUUUCUAAUUCUUAGUAAGCAUAAAGUUUGAGCCAUAUAAGUGCUCUAACUAAUUCUCAAACUGAAUACUCUAUGAUCACAGCUUGUGAAGACUCGAAAACUCCUUGAACUUCUACUUGAGGGUCUUCCUUGUGCGUAUGACCCUAGGGUAUCGUAUGAAACGUCAGAGCAACUUCUAGAACCAUUGCUCCUCUGCUACGAAUCACUGGUAAAACUCCAUGUUAAAAUAACGUUCCAUCAAAAUGAUCUUUAACAUCAUUCUUUUACUUAGCAAUCAUCCGGCGCUGGUGUACUAGCUGAUGGAAAACUUGCUGAUCUAAUCCGUAGAGUUUCUACAUUUGGCAUGGUUUUGGUGAAACUUGAUUUACGUCAGGUGAGAUUUUCUUCUAUUUUUGGAUCGCUCUUGUUUUAGUGGUUUUACUCGUAUAAUAAUGUAUAUAUGAAUCAUUUACCAGGAAUCUGCAAGGCAUGCUGAAGCUUUGGAUGCAAUUACAACAUACUUGGAUCUUGGUACUUAUAGUGAAUGGGAUGAAGAGAAAAAACUAGAUUUCUUGACAAAAGAACUUAAAGGGAAACGACCCCUUGUUCCUCCCACUAUUGAGGUCAGAAUGACAAUAACCUUUUGCAUAUCAAAACCCGUCUUUCAGCAUGUGUUACUGGUGCAUUCGAACAAGAGCGAUCCAAAGAAUACAACUUACUAAUAAUGUAUCAAUUUUUUUUAAUAUCAGCUGUGGUCUAUAUUAUGUGUAGGUUGUUCCUGAAGUUAAAGAAGUAUUGGACACAUUCCGAGUUGCUGCUGAGUUUGGAAGUGAAUCACUUGGAGCUUAUGUUAUUUCCAUGGCUUCAAAUGUAUGAUCGCUUUGGUUUCUCUAGAAUCAAAUGUAGCAAUAAGUUAUGUGAUACGUAUACAUUGAAAUUGAUUAAUUUGUUGCUAAAUUUCCAGGCAAGUGACGUCCUUGCUGUGGAGCUUCUGCAGAAAGAUACUCGACUUGCGGUCACUAGUGAACAUGGAAAACCAUGUCCUGGUGGAACGUGAGUUUAAAUUCAUACUCAUUAUUUUCAUACUAAUUAUAGAAACAUUUUAAUGUAAACAUUUUAUUUCGAAUUGUAUGAUGCCAUACUCUCUUAUUCGUUAGGCUACGAGUGGUUCCUCUUUUUGAAACGGUGAAGGAUUUACGAGCUGCUGGUUCUGUGAUAAGGAAACUGCUUUCAAUAGAUUGGUACAGAGAACACAUCCAAAAGAAUCAUCAUGGUCACCAAGAGGUAAGUUACAACUGUAAAUUAAACAAUUUCUUAGAAGAAUAACCCCUCUAGAAACUUGUAACAAUUAAUAUUACGUGCAGGUGAUGGUUGGAUACUCUGAUUCAGGAAAGGAUGCUGGACGCUUUACUGCAGCAUGGGAACUUUACAAAGCUCAAGAAGAUGUUGUUGCUGCUUGCAAUGAGUUUGGGAUCAAAAUUACUUUGUUCCAUGGACGAGGAGGAAGUAUUGGUCGUGGUGGUGGCCCGACCUAUCUCGCCAUACAAUCCCAACCACCAGGCUCUGUAAUGGUCAGUUUUCAUAUCUCCUGAGUUUUUUUUCGUCAUGGUUACACAAGAAUAUGGUCUUUUACUGGUUCACUGAGAUUUAAGUCACUUUGGAAACCAACACAUAACCACCACAAUAAUUUAUGUCAAAUAUUAAUUACUUGGUUUGGCCAGGGCUCUUUGCGUUCUACCGAGCAAGGUGAGAUGGUUCAAGCCAAGUUUGGUAUACCACAAACAGCUGUUAGACAACUAGAAAUAUACACAACCGCGGUUCUACUCGCUACAUUAAAGCCUCCUCAACCGCCUCGAGAGAAAAAAUGGAGAAAUCUAAUGGAAGAAAUCUCAACAAUCAGUUCCCAAAACUACAAAGGCACAGUCUACGAAAACCCAGAGUUUAUCUCAUAUUUCCAUGAGGCAACACCACAAGCCGAGCUCGGUUACCUCAACAUAGGAAGCCGACCAGCUCGAAGAAAGAGCUCUACUGGCAUAGGACAUCUCAGAGCUAUCCCUUGGGUCUUUGCUUGGACACAAACAAGGUUUGUUCUACCAGCUUGGCUCGGUGUAGGAGCUGGUCUAAAGGGUG